GGGAAGCCGGUCAAAGUCCGGCACUGUCCCGCAACCGUAGGUUAGAAAUUUUCUAACAAGUCGGAGUGCC
rnacentral:ncRNA from 17 species